AUCGGUGAAGGAUCGGCCCGCGUUAGAUUAGUUUGUUGGUGGGGUAAUGGCCUACCAAGACUACGAUCUAUAGCUGGUCUGAGAGGAUGAUCAGCCACACUGGGACUGAGACACGGCCCAGACUCCUACGGGAGGCAGCAGUGGGGAAUAUUGGACAAUGGGCGCAAGCCUGAUCCAGCCAUGCCGCGUGAGUGAUGAAGGCCCUAGGGUUGUAAAGCUCUUUCAGCGAGGAGGAUAAUGACGUUACUCGCAGAAGAAGCCCCGGCUAACUUCGUGCCAGCAGCCGCGGUAAUAC
rnacentral:rRNA from 1 species